rnacentral:rRNA from 1 species
AUUGAACGCUGGCGGCAGGCUUAACACAUGCAAGUCGAGCGAGCGGUGCACGGGUGAGUAUUGUAUGGGGACUGCUCGAUAUAGGGGGAUAACUCCUGGAAACGGCGGCUAAUACCGCAUACUGCAUCAUAACCCAUAUGGGAUUAGCUAGUAGGUAAGGUAAUGGCUUACCUAGGCGACGCUCCCUAGCUGGUCUGUGAGGAUGAUCAGCCACACUGGGACUGAGACACGGGCCAGACUCCUACGGAGGCAGCAGUGGGGAAUAUUGCACAAUGGGCGCAAGCCUGAUGCAGCCAUGCCGCGUGUAUGAAGAAGGCCGUCGGGUUGUAAAGUACUUUCAGUGGGGAGGCGUUACCGGCAGAAGAAGCACCGGCUAACUCCGUGCCAGCAGCCGCGGUAAUAC